CCUACGGGCGGCAGCAGUCGAGAAUCAUUCACAAUGGGGGAAACCCUGAUGGUGCGACGCCGCGUGGGGGAAUGAAGGUCUUCGGAUUGUAAACCCCUGUCAUGUGGGAGCAAAUUAAAAAGAUAGUACCACAAGAGGAAGAGACGGCUAACUCUGUGCCAGCAGCCGCGGUAAUACAGAGGUCUCAAGCGUUGUGCGGAAUCACUGGGCGUAAGGCGUGCGUAGGCUGUUUCGUAAGUCGUGUGUGAAAGGCGCGGGCUCAACCCGCGGACGGCACAUGAUACUGCGAGACUAGAGUAAUGGAGGGGGAACCGGAAUUCUCGGUGUAGCAGUGAAAUGCGUAGAUAUCGAGAGGAACACUCGUGGCGAAGGCGGGUUCCUGGACAUUAACUGACGCUGAGGCACGAAGGCCAGGGGAGCGAAAGGGAUUAGAUACCCGAGUAGUC
rnacentral:rRNA from 1 species